AUUGAACGCUGGCGGCAUGCUUUACAUAUGCAAGUCGAACGGCAGCGCGGGCUUCGGCCUGGCGGCGAGUGGCGAACGGGUGAGUAAUGCAUCGGAACGUGCCCAGUAGUGGGGGAUAGCCCGGCGAAAGCCGGAUUAAUACCGCAUACGACCUGAGGGUGAAAGCGGGGGACCGAAAGGCCUCGCGCUAUUGGAGCGGCCGAUGUCGGAUUAGCUAGUUGGUGGGGUAAAGGCUUACCAAGGCGACGAUCCGUAGCUGGUCUGAGAGGACGACCAGCCACACUGGGACUGAGACACGGCCCAGACUCCUACGGGAGGCAGCAGUGGGGAAUUUUGGACAAUGGGGGCAACCCUGAUCCAGCCAUGCCGCGUGCGGGAAGAAGGCCUUCGGGUUGUAAACCGCUUUUGUUCGGGAAGAAAUCCUCUGGGCUAAUACCCCGGGGGGAUGACGGUACCGGAAGAAUAAGCACCGGCUAACUACGUG
rnacentral:rRNA from 1 species